GCGCCCAUAGCUUAAUGGAUAGAGCACCUGACUACGGAUCAGGAGGUUGGGGGUUCAAGUCCCUCUGGGCGCG
rnacentral:tRNA from 1 species